AACGAACGCUGGCGGCAGGCUUAACACAUGCAAGUCGAACGAUGUAGCAAUACAUAGUGGCGCACGGGUGAGUAACGCGUGGGAACGUGCCUUUUAGUUUGGAGUAACACCGGGAAACUGGUGCUAAUGCCAAAUACGCCCUUCGGGGGAAAGAUUUAUCGCUAAAAGAUCGGCCCGCGUCAGAUUAGCUAGUUGGUGGGGUAAUGGCCUACCAAGGCUCCGAUCUGUAGCUGUUCUGAGAGGAAGAUCCGCCACACUGGAACUGAGACACGGUCCAGACCCCUACGGGAGGCAGCAGUGGGGAAUAUUGGACAAUGGGGGAAACCCUGAUCCAGCCAUGCCGCGUGAGUGAUGAAGGCCUUAGGGUUGUAAAGCUCUUUUACCAGGGAAGAUGAUGACGGUACCUGGAGAAUAAGCACCGGCUAACUUCGUGCCAGCCGCCGCCGUAA
rnacentral:rRNA from 1 species